rnacentral:misc_RNA from 1 species
GUGAAUCAUCAAAUCUUUGAACGCAAAUUGCACUUCCUGGUAUUCCGGAGAGUAUGCCUGUUUGAGGGUCAGUUUAAAUAAAAAUAGGUGUGGUUGCUGACUUUAGUGGUGCAGCACCGGAUUUGGGUCGUCUUGACUUCGGUUAAGUGAUCUCAUUAAUUUCAUGAUUUUUUUUGAACGUAUUUAAAUGAUUUUAGUCAG